GGGUUGGUGGUGUGAUGGCUACCACUUCUGCUUUAUAAGCAGAAGGUCAUGAGUUCAAUCCUAGGCCCGUCCC
rfam:Aedes aegypti strain Liverpool supercont1.560 genomic scaffold, whole genome shotgun sequence.